GCGGUCAAGCGCAAGGUGUGCCGCCGGCCUUCCAAGCCGCGCAGUGACGGGUUCGAUUCCCUCUGACCGCU
rnacentral:tRNA from 1 species